rnacentral:rRNA from 1 species
GACGAACGCUGGCGGCGUGCCUAAUACAUGCAAGUCGAGCGAGCGGCGAACGGGUGAGUAACACGUGAGCAACCUGCCCCUGACUCUGGGAUAAGCGGUGGAAACGCCGUCUAAUACCGGAUAGUCAGGGCUGGGCUCGAGGCCUAUCAGCUUGUUGGUGGGGUAACGGCCGACCAAGGCGAUUACGGGUAGCCGGCCUGAGAGGGCGACCGGCCACACUGGGACUGAGACACGGCCCAUACGGCGGCGGGAGGGAGCAGUGGGGAAGAUUGCGCAAUGGGCGAAAUGCUGCCGCAGCGAGGCCGCGUGGGGGAGGACGGCCUUGGGGUUGUAAACCUCGUUUACCACCAACGCGUUAGGUGGGGAAUAAGGACCGGCUAACUACGUGCCAGCAGCCGCGGUAAUAC